CCCUACGGGGGGCAGCAGUAGGGAAUCUUCCACAAUGGGCGAAAGCCUGAUGGAGCAACGCCGCGUGGGUGAAGAAGGUCUUCGGAUCGUAAAACCCUGUUGUUAGAGAAGAAAGUGCGUGAGAGUAACUGUUCACGUUUCGACGGUAUCUAACCAGAAAGCCACGGCUAACUACGUGCCAGCAGCCGCGGAAAUACGUAGGUGGCAAGCGUUAUCCGGAUUUAUUGGGCGAAAAGGGGACGCAGGCGGUCUUUUAAGUCUGAUGUGAAAGCCCUGGGCUUAACCGGAGUAGGGCAUUGGAAACG
rnacentral:rRNA from 1 species